rnacentral:rRNA from 1 species
AAUGGCUCACCAAGGCGUCGACGGGUAGCCGGCCUGAGAGGGUGACCGGCCACACUGGGACUGAGACACGGCCCAGACUCCUACGGGAGGCAGCAGUGGGGAAUAUUGCACAAUGGGCGCAAGCCUGAUGCAGCAACGCCGCGUGAGGGAUGACGGCCUUCGGGUUGUAAACCUCUUUUAGCAGGGAAGAAGCGAGAGUGACGGUACCUGCAGAAAAAGCACCGGCUAACUACGUGCCAGCAGCCGCGGUAAUACGUAGGGUGCAAGCGUUAUCCGGAAUUAUUGGGCGUAAAGAGCUCGUAGGCGGUUUGUCGCGUCUGCUGUGAAAUCUGGGGGCUCAACCCCCAGCCUGCAGUGGGUACGGGCAGACUAGAGUGCGGUAGGGGAGAUUGGAAUUCCUGGUGUAGCGGUGGAAUGCGCAGAUAUCAGGAGGAACACCGAUGGCGAAGGCAGAUCUCUGGGCCGUAACUGACGCUGAGGAGCGAAAGGGUGGGGAGCAAACAGGCUUAGAUACCCUGGUAGUCCACCCCGUAAACGUUGGGAACUAGUUGUGGGGUCCAUUCCACGGAUUCCGUGACGCAGCUAACGCAUUAAGUUCCCCGCCUGGGGAGUACGGCCGCAAGGCUAAAACUCAAAGGAAUUGACGGGGACCCGCACAAGCGGCGGAGCAUGCGGAUUAAUUCGAUGCAACGCGAAGAACCUUACCAAGGCUUGACAUAUACGAGAACGGGCCAGAAAUGGUCAACUCUUUGGACACUCGUAAACAGGUGGUGCAUGGUUGUCGUCAGCUCGUGUCGUGAGAUGUUGGGUUAAGUCCCGCAACGAGCGCAACCCUCGUUCUAUGUUGCCAGCACGUAAUGGUGGGAACUCAUGGGAUACUGCCGGGGUCAACUCGGAGGAAGGUGGGGAUGACGUCAAAUCAUCAUGCCCCUUAUGUCUUGGGCUUCACGCAUGCUACAAUGGCCGGUACAAUGGGCUGCAAUACCGUGAGGUGGAGCGAAUCCCAAAAAGCCGGUCCCAGUUCGGAUUGAGGUCUGCAACUCGACCUCAUGAAGUCGGAGUCGCUAGUAAUCGCAGAUCAGCAACGCUGCGGUGAAUACGUUCCCGGGUCUUGUACACACCGCCCGUCAAGUCAUGAAAGUCGGUAACACCUGAAGCCGGUGGCCUAACCCCUCGGGGAGGGAGCUGUCGAAGGUGGGAUCGGUAAUUAGGACUAAGUCGUAACAAGGUAGCCGUACCGGAAGGUGCGGCUG